GCCUAGUUAGCUUGGUUGGUAGCGCGUCUGCAUUGUAAGCGCUAGGCCGCGGGUUCGAUUCCCGCCCGGGGCG
rfam:Asian citrus Psyllid, Diaphorina citri - Florida Strain, whole genome shotgun sequence.